UACGUAGGGGGCUAGCGUUGCCCGGAAUCAUUGGGCGUAAAGAGCGUGUAGGCGGCCCGGUAAGUCCGCUGUGAAAGUCGGGGGCUCAACCCUCGAAUGCCGGUGGAUACUGUCGGGCUAGAGUGCGGAAGAGGCGAGUGGAAUUCCUGGUGUAGCGGCGAAAUGCGCAGAUAUCAGGAGGAACACCGAUUGCGAAGGCAGCUCGCUGGGACGUAACUGACGCUGAGACGCGAAAGCGUGGGGAGCAAACAGG
rnacentral:rRNA from 1 species